GCGAGUCUUAAGGGCGCAUGGAGGAUGCCUAGGCUCCUGGAGGCGAUGAAGGACGCGAUAAGCUGCGAAAAUCCGCGGGGAGGUGCAAGUAACCAUUGAUCCGCGGGUAUCCGAAUGGGGCAACCCGCCUGGUUGAAGGCCAGGCACCUGCAGUAAUGCAGGGGCGAACCCGCUGAACUGAAACAUCUAAGUAGGCGGAGGAAAAUAAAACAAGAGUGAUUCCCUAAGUAGUGGCGAGCGAACGGGGAGCAGCCCAAACCGGUGUUGUUUUGGCAAUACCGGGGUUGAAGGACUGCCGUUACUUGAUAUCAAAUGAAAUGGAACGGUUUGGAAAAACUGGUCAUAGAGGGUGAUAACCCCGUACAUGCAAGUUUGAUGUUGAUAGGCAGUAUCCUGAGUAGCGCGGGACACGAGGAAUCUUGCGUGAAACAGCCGGGACCAUCCGGCAAGGCUAAAUACUCCUGGGAGACCGAUAGUGAACCAGUACCGUGAGGGAAAGGUGAAAAGCACCCCGGACAGGGGAGUGAAAUAGUACCUGAAACCGUGCGCCUACAAGCGGUCGGAGCCCUUUUGAGGGGUGACGGCGUGCCUUUUGCAUAAUGAGCCUACGAGUUGUUCCUUACCAGCGAGGUUAAGCGUUUUAAGGCGCGGAGCCGCAGUGAAAGCGAGCCUGAAGAGGGCGUAUAGUUGGUAGGGACAGACGCGAAACCUAGUGAUCUACCCAUGGUCAGGCUGAAGUUCCGGUAACACGUGAUGGAGGGCCGAACCAGUAAACGUUGAAAAGUUUUUGGAUGAAUUGUGGGUAGGGGUGAAAGGCUAAUCAAACUGGGAAAUAGCUCGUACUCCCCGAAAUGCAUUUAGGUGCAGCCUCAUGAUAAGUUUUAUAGAGGUAGAGCUACUGAUAGGACGCGAGGGCUUCAUCGCCUAUCAACUCCUGACAAACUCCGAAUGCUAUAAAAUGUUUCAUGGGAGUGAGGGCAUGGGUGCUAAGGUCCAUGCCCGAGAGGGAAAGAACCCAGACCAUCGGCUAAGGUCCCCAAAUGUAUGCUAAGUUGAAUUCAAACGCGGUAUGGUUGCAGCGACAGCCAGGAUGUUGGCUUGGAAGCAGCCAUUCAUUUAAAGAGUGCGUAACAGCUCACUGGUCGAGCGACCGUGCAUGGAUAAUAAUCGGGCAUAAGCAUACUACCGAAGCCAUGGACUUGUACAUUAGUACAAUUGGUAGGGGAGCAUUCCAAGUGCGUAGAAGAGGUCUCGCGAGGGGUCUUGGAGCGUUUGGAAAAGCAAAUGUAGGCAUGAGUAACGAUAAAACGGGUUAGAAACCUGUUCGCCGAAAGACUAAGGAUUCCUGAUCAACGUUAAACGGAUCAGGGUUAGUCGGGGCCUAAGGCUAAGCCGAGAGGCGAUGUCGAUGGACAGCAGGUUAAUAUUCCUGCACCUGCCAUCCACUAAAAGUGACGAAGUGUCGAGGUACCUGGGUGCUGACGGAAUAGCACGCUGAGCAUAGCCCUCGGGCGAAGCGAAGGUAAUUAGAUGCUUCCUGGAAAAGCGAGGAUGGCAGCCCGUACCGUAAACGGACACACGUAGUUGGGUUGAGUAUACUAAGGCGCUCGAGUGAUUCACGGCUAAGGAACUCGGCAAAUUAACCCUGUAACUUCGGGAAAAAGGGUCCCUGCCUCAGGGCAGGGCGCAGAGAAAUGGCCCAGGCGACUGUUUAGCAAAAACACAUGGCUAUGCAAAUUCGAAAGAAGACGUAUAUGGCCUGACACCUGCCCGGUGCCGGAAGGUUAAGAGGAGAUGUUAGUUUCGGCGAAGCAUUGAAUUGAAGCCCCGGUAAACGGCGGCCGUAACUAUAACGGUCCUAAGGUAGCGAAAUUCCUUGUCGGGUAAGUUCCGACCUGCACGAAUGGUGUAACGAUCUGGGCACUGUCUCAGCCAUGAGCUCGGUGAAAUUGAAGUAACGGUGAAGAUGCCGUUUACCCGCAACGGGACGGAAAGACCCCGUGAACCUUCACUACAACUUAACAUUGACUCUGGAUAAAUGAUGUGUAGGAUAGGUGGGAGACUAUGAAUCGGAGGCGCUAGCUUUCGAGGAGUCGUCCUUGAAAUACCACCCUUUAUUUAUCUGGAGCCUAAUCCUGUAAACACGGGAGACAUUGUUUGGUGGGUAGUUUGACUGGGGUGGUCGCCUCCAAAAGAGUAACGGAGGCUUUCAAAGGUACCCUCAGCACGCUUGGUAACCGUGCGUAGAGUGCAAUAGCAUAAGGGUGCUUGACUGUGAGACAAACAAGUCGAGCAGGUAGGAAACUAGGAUAUAGUGAUCCGGUGGUUCCGCAUGGAAGGGCCAUCGCUCAAAGGAUA
rnacentral:rRNA from 1 species